rnacentral:rRNA from 1 species
GAUUAGCCAUGCAUGUCUCAGUCUAAGCAAUUAUACUGUGAAACUGCGAACGGCUCAUUAUAUCAGUUAUAGUUUCUUUGAUAGUGUUUUUCUACAUGGAUACUUGUGGCAAAUCUAGAAACAAUACAUGCUUUCAAACCCGACUUUAUGGAAGGGUUGCAUUUAUUUGACUUAAACCAAUACCUCUCGGGGUUGUUUUGGUGAUUCAGAAUAAUUAAGCGAAUCGCAGAGCUUCGGCGGCGAUGAAUCAUUCAAGUUUCUGCCCCAUCAGUUGUCGAUGGUAGGGUAUUGGCCUACCAUGACUGUUACGGGUGACGGAGAAUCAGGGUUCGAUUCCGGAGAGGGAGCCUUAGAGACGGCUACCACAUCCAAGGAAGGCAGCAGGCGCGUAAAUUACUCAAUGUCAAUUCGACGAAGUAGUGACGAGAAAUCAAAAUGCGGAGCACUCAGUGUUUUGCAAUUUUAAUGAGAGCAAUGUAAAUACCUCAUCGAGGAUCAAUUGGAGGGCAAGUCUGGUGCCAGCAGCCGCGGUAAUUCCAGCUCCAAUAGCGUAUACUAAUGUUGUUGCAGUUAAAAAGCUCGUAGUUGAACCUCUGGUAGGAGUAGCCCGGCCUUUGGGCGAAUGCCCACUGUUUGCUGUGUGCUGUCUCUGGCCAUCCUCCAUGCAGCAAUGCAUGGUCUUUCACUGUAAAAAAAUUAGGGUGUUUCAAGCAAAAGUUUCUUUGGAAUAUAUUAGUAUGGGAUGAUAAGAUAGGCUCUCGAUGCUAUUUUGUUGGUUUGUACAUCAAGAGAAUGAUUAACAGGGACAGUUGGGGGUAUUCGUAUUCUGAUGUCAG